rnacentral:tRNA from 1 species
GUUCCUGUAGUUAAAUUUAUAACAAUGGCUUUUCAGGCCGUAGGUCUCGGAUAGAAGCCGGGCGGGAAUU